rnacentral:rRNA from 1 species
UACAGAGGUGCCAAGCGUUAGGCGGAAUCACUGGGCUUAAAGCGCGUGUAGGCGGGUCGUUAAGUGUCCGAGUGAAAUCCCACGGCUCAACCGUGGAACUGCCGGGCAUACUGGCGAUCUUGAGGCAUUCAGGGGCGAGCGGAACAAAUGGUGGAGCGGUGAAAUGCGUAGAUAUCAUUUGGAACGCCGAAGGUGAAAACAGCUCGCUGGGGCCGCGCUGACGCUGAGACACGAAAGCCAGGGGAGCGAACGGG